rnacentral:lncRNA from 1 species
CUGCUUACGCCGACCGAAAGUUGACUGAAAUAGAGUAAAAAAAAAAUUUAACUUUUCAGCGGCGUUUCGGUUUCUGCUGUAGACGGACCAAUGAAAGAAAGCAAAAAUUAUGACAUCAUAUUGACGUAUCGAAGUGCUGAAAGCGGUAGAUUCAAUAUGUCGGAACGUCGAUGUGGUAUGUUGGAAGCUUUUGUCGAAGAAGUUCGGAAACAUUCAUGUCUAUAUGACAACUCAACUGGAAAUUAUAAAGAUACAGUAUUUAAAAAAACUGUUUGGACGGCCAUCGCAGCAAAAUUUCAAUUGAAAAGUGGUAAGCUAUCGAUAUUUAAAAUCAUGAACUGUUGACAUGUCUGGUUGAUUGGAUUUUGUUUUAUAAUUUUCAUUCAAUAUCAAUAUUUUCGUUAAAUUAAGGUAUUGAUGCCGAAAAAGGGGAAGGUACAACGUGAUCGUUACAUGAGGGAGAAGAAGAAAAUUCGAGAAAGUGUUGCAAGUGGUAGUAGUGCUUCUGAAUUAUAUAAAUCAAAUUGGUAUCUGUAUGAAAUUUUGGAUGGAUUUUUAGGCAAGCAGAAUAACGAUGUUCAACA